GAUGAACGCUGGCGGCGUGCCUAAUACAUGCAAGUCGAGCGAACAGACGAGGAGCUUGCUCCUCUGACGUUAGCGGCGGACGGGUGAGUAACACGUGGAUAACCUACCUAUAAGACUGGGAUAACUUCGGGAAACCGGAGCUAAUACCGGAUAAUAUAUUGAACCGCAUGGUUCAAUAGUGAAAGACGGUUUUGCUGUCACUUAUAGAUGGAUCCGCGCCGCAUUAGCUAGUUGGUAAGGUAACGGCUUACCAAGGCAACGAUGCGUAGCCGACCUGAGAGGGUGAUCGGCCACACUGGAACUGAGACACGGUCCAGACUCCUACGGGAGGCAGAAGUAGGGAAUCUGCCGCAAUGGGCGAAAGCCGGACGGAGCAACGCCGCGUGAGGGAUGAAGGUCUUCGGAUCGUAAAACUCUGUUAUUAGGGAAAAAAAAAUGUGUAAGUAACUAGGCACGUCUUGACGGUACCUAAUCAGAAAGCCACGGCUAACUACG
rnacentral:rRNA from 1 species